CUGGUUUUGAUGAAUACCCAAUUUUUAUUUUGGUAACAAUGUUUAUAGAUAUAAUGUUUACAUAAGUCAAUGGGAAAAAGAAAAAAAAAUACACUAAACCUCCUAAUUCAAGUCCAACUUCAAAAAGGUUUCAAAACCCAUGUCAAUCACUUUUUGUCUUGCGGCUUCUAUAGAGCUUCAGCUGCUUUUGAAACUUCAUUAGGAACACAUCUUGUGGAGCCCGUGUUGCCCUUUUUAGUACCAUGCAAAAAAAAAAUCAGUCAUCUUAGCCAGUAAAACCAUAAAAAUACCAGUAAUAUCACACAACCUAGCCAGUAAAACCAUCUAAAAAUCCCAAUAAAGGCUGAAAUGGGGAAACUUAGAGCUGUGGCUAUCACAAAAAUGACAUACUUAGCCAGUAAAAUAUCAUACUUAGCCAGUAAAUCACUCAACCUUUGCACCUUACCAGUAAAAUCACUCAACCUAGCUAGUAAAACCACCUAAACCAUCUGCAAUACCCGUAAAAUCAGUCAUCUUAGUCUUGUACUACAAAGGCUAAAAUGGGGAAUCUCCUGCAUCUUAGAGGGCCAUCAAUCAAACAGCGAUUGUGUUGAUCCCAAAGGUAAAACACCCACAGGAACUCAAGAAUUUCAGACCAAUUUCAUUAUGCAACGUGGUAUACAAAUUGUGCUCUAAAGUGCUAGCUAAUAGACUGCGGGUGUUUUUAGAUGAGAUCAUUUCUGCAGAACAGAGCGCAUUUGUGCCUGGUCGCCUGAUCACUGAUAAUGUGCUUGUAGCCUAUGAGUGUAUUCACUACCUCAAGAGAAAGAAAGGAAAAACUGGAGCUUGUGCAAUAAAACUCGACAUGGCAAAAGCCUAUGAUCUAGUCGAGUGGAGUCAUCUGCAAGACAUGAUGUUGAAACUGGGUUCCCAGAAAGUUUUGUGCAGACAAUAAUGAGAUGUGUUACCUCUGUAUCUUUUUUCAGUAAGGGUAAUGGGAACCUAUCAAAGCCAUUUAAACCAUCAAGGGGGAUUAGACAGGGGGAUCCCAUCUCCCAAUAUCUUUCUCUGAUAUGUUCUAAUGGCCUCUCUUGCUUAUUGAAAUCAGUUGGUCAGGUGCACUUGGCCUGAGGCGUGAGAGUUGGGAUUCAUGCACCUUGGAUCUCGCACUUGCUGUUUGCUGAUGACUGCAUCGUAUUCUCAGAAGCUUCUCAGAGAGGUGCCCAACGUUUGCAAGAGAUCCUGAAUGUUUAUGGCAGGGUUUCGGGGCAGCUGGUCAGUAGAGACAAAUCAGCGAUUUUCUUUAGUGCAAAUUGUGGUGAAAAUAGCAAGCAAGAGGUACGGGAAAUUUUACACAUUGAAGUGGAAGAUUUAGGGGAGAGGUUGUUAGAUAACCCAUGCUCGGCUGCUCCUUUAUCUGUUAUAGGUUUCGUUCAGUGAAUAAACGAGCUCAAUUCAGUUGAGCGCGUCCUGUAAAAGGCCAGACGCAUGCUGGUUCAUGCAGCGGUCUUCCUUCUUUCUAGUUGGUAGUGGUGAGCGCGAGCGCGUCGUUCUCGUCCGUGGGAUGGCACGGGCCGGUCAGAGUUCGUUGGCGCGCGCGUAGGAGUGGCG
rnacentral:lncRNA from 1 species